UGAGGAUUAAUGACUGUCUGGGG
rnacentral:miRNA from 1 species